GAUUAAGUUAUUAAGGGCGCACGGUGGAUGCCUUGGCACUAGAAGCCGAUGAAGGACGUUACUAACGACGAUAUGCUUUGGGGAGCUGUAAGUAAGCUUUGAUCCAGAGAUUUCCGAAUGGGGAAACCCAGCAUGAGUUAUGUCAUGUUAUCGAUAUGUGAAUACAUAGCAUAUCAGAAGGCACACCCGGAGAACUGAAACAUCUUAGUACCCGGAGGAAGAAAAAGAAAAUUCGAUUCCCUUAGU
rnacentral:rRNA from 1 species